AUCAUCACCACAUUGAAAUACCAGUCCUGUAUGAUCACUGAAGUUAAGCAUCAUUGAGCCUGGUUAGUCCCUAGAUGGGUGACAACUUGGGAAUAGCAGGUGGUGUAAG